GAUGAAGAACGCAGCGAAAUGCGAUAAGUAAUGUGAAUUGCAGAAUUCAGUGAAUCAUCGAAUCUUUGAACGCACAUUGCCCCCGCCAGUAUUCUGGCGGGCAUGCCUGUCUGAGCGUCAUUUCAACCCUCAUGCCCCUAGGGCGUGGUGUUGGGGAUCGGCCAAAGCCCGCGAGGGACGGCCGGCCCCUAAAUCUAGUGGCGGACCCGUCGUGGCCUCCUCUGCGAAGUAGUGAUAUUCCGCAUCGGAGAGCGAUGAGCCCCUGCCGUUAACCCCCCAACUUUCCAAGGUUGACCUCAGAUCAGGUAGGAAUACCCGCUGAACUUAAGCAUAUCAAUAAGCGGAGGA
rnacentral:misc_RNA from 1 species